CCAAGGUUAACUUAGUCUCCUUCCUCAUUGCCACUUUCUGACAUCACCUCACCAUUGUGAACAACCUACGUCACCCUCAGUGGCCACAUUAUUUUGUGACAUCAAUUCUUUACACAAUGAGCUUCCUCUGCCUUGAAGUUUUUGUAUCCCCCCAUUCACAACUGGAUGAUGACUAUUCAUUCUAUAAGAUUCACCCUGCAUGUCAACUGCUCUGAAAAAUCUUGAUCAAAAUCUCCACCAAAAAUUACCUCCUUCUUUACAUUCCCAAAUCACUUUGUGGCUACCUUUAUUAUAGCAUGUAUUCCCCUUAAUUAUAAUUUACCUGUUAAUGUGUCUGUUCAUUUUAUUUUUAAAUUCUAAGUGAGCUGAAAACAUCUCUCACUUACUGAAUUAAUGUAGCUACAAUAUACUUGUGGAAUGAUUGGGUGAAAGUGUAAAAUUAGAAAUUGUUUCUGCCUGAAAAUGUUGGAUACUGAAUAAAGUAUACUCAUGUUCAUAAUGUUUAGUUUAGUUUUUUUUUUUCCUUAAUUGUCAAAGGGAAACAGGUUGCAAGCUCACCUGCUUUUAUUUUUCUUGUUUCUGUUCUGUUAUACAUGCUUUUAUAACACAGGAAGUUUAGGUAUACUAGCAUUUUAAUUUGCUGGACUAUGCUUUGUAAUCACUGAUUAGAAAGAAUACAAGGAGACUUAGAAGUCUCUACGGUUCUGUCCAAAUUCCCCUUUGCAAACUUCUGAUAUGAUUUAUAUUCCUCAGGUAAUAAAGGAGCUUUCCUCAACUUUCUUCACAGCCAGGCUACUGAACCUCUUCAUUCUCCAUCUGUACCACUCCUGUGGGCAAGAACAAAAGCAGAAAAAAAAAAGCUAGGGAACAGAGAUGCCUUUUCAUGCUCUUAAUCAAAGAUAAUAAAUGGAAAGCAUGAUGUAAAUGCCCACUGUGAGCAAAGUUUGGGUCUACACACUGGAGGAGACCUGAAGAAGAAUGCAGUCGAAACCCUGCCCUCAAAAUUAAGGGAGCUGCAGUGUGGGAACUGACAUGGAUGUGGGAACUGACCUUAAUGGACAAGAUGACUUUACAAGGCAUAGCUAAUCAUUCUACUGAGAAAAUACUUUUUCAUUCAUUCUCCAGUUGCUCUUUUCUUUUUCAACUUCAUGGAAGACAACUGUAAGUAGUCUCAAAAAUGCAAUUUACAAUUUAAAAAAAAUUCACUUUCUAAAUAAGUCUCACAUGUACAGGUCUCACUUGUUAGAUUUCAGUCACUUGUUAGAAAGCAGUUGAUAAGUUGAGGACACACAGAAGAACACGGGAUAUCACAAAUAGCCAAGGACCUAAUUUUCUCAACUGGCGACUAAGGCUGUGUGGGGAGAGAAGGCGAAUGUUCCUUGAAAUGAGAAGCCUGUAAACAUGAUUUCUAAAUAGAAAUUAUUCUUUUAGGUUCAGCUGCCAUUGGAAAAAUAGGCCCUAUUCUAACAAUACAUCCGCAGAGGCCUUAAAGUUAAUUACAGCCUUAUAUUUACUCUGGCUCUAUUAUACAGAUGAAAAGAAGAUGGUUUAAUCACUGAGGAGGUUUUAACGUGCAUUUAUCUCAUUUUCUUCUUGCUGUGGGGAAAAAACAUACAUUUGUAUUUUAUAAAAAUAAUGAACUAUUUCAUCUACUCUUCAAUUAUAUGGCAUACAUUAAAUGAAUCCAAGUUAUUAUAGUCACCUAAUAUAUGCAGUAAAGCAGUUUUUUGUUUCUCUAAUGUGUAACAUACCUAAGACUUCUCCAUUCUGAAAUGGUUAAUUUCAAAGUUUCCCAAGGUCUCUCCUCUGAGCCCCAUUACCAACAUAUGAUUGUCACUGCAACAUGGCUUUACUGACACAUUGGUGUUAAAAGGCAGUGACAGAGCCAACAGAAGAGAACCGAAGCCAUUUAUAUAUACUGUAGAACUACUCUGACAAUCCAAAGGAACACGCCAUCUGCAUUCUGUGUUGCUGCAACCUACUGAACUGUGGGUUUGCAAUUUCAGAAUUCAGAAUGUCAUGCCUGGCUCCACUUUAGGGAGCUCCCACAGCUGCUACUUUUGCUUCCCUGCCUUCAGAAUUCUGAUGCUGAAGUUAAUAUGUGAGGACAUCCUUGUGUAGUGAUGGAGACAUGGCAGUAGGGCAUGCUAGAGUACCAUAUAUUUUUAUGUAUUUAUUUAUUCAAGCUGUGUGGCCUUUUCUUCCCCCCUUUCCCUUUGCAACUUAUCAACCUGAGCCCUCAGAUGCUCACACCCACACAAUGAUCUCAGCAGGCAAGAAGCAAAAGCAAAAGCAAAUGCACUUUAGGAAAGAACAGGAAACCGACACUGAAAUGGCCAUUACUGGGCAUUUCAAUUUUACCUGUGGUUUCAGCUUCUGCUCAAAGUGCAUGCAAUGAAUGUGGCCUGAUUACCUUAAUUCAGUGAUAUCGGCAAUAAUCACAAUGACAGGCAGUGCCUAAGAGAUUGCCCUUGACAGCAGAGUCACAGAAAUGGAGAUAUGGAAAAUUUCCGUUGAGCACAACACACAAAAGGAAUAAUGGAGAGAUGCUCAGGGAUCCAUUUCCUGGUAGAAGGGUAGAUGGUGACAGAGCUGAAUUCACUUUGUGAUUAACAGUAGGGUUGAUGAGUGGAUCUUUCACUGGUAUCUUCUAGCAUUUUCAUUCUCAAUUCUAUGGGA